rnacentral:rRNA from 1 species
GCAGCCGCGGUAAUACGUAGGGGGCAAGCGUUAUCCGGAUUUACUGGGUGUAAAGGGAGCGUAGACGGUGAAGCAAGUCUGAAGUGAAAGCCCGGGGCUCAACCCCGGGACUGCUUUGGAAACUGUUUUACUAGAGUGCAGGAGAGGUAAGCGGAAUUCCUAGUGUAGCGGUGAAAUGCGUAGAUAUUAGGAGGAACACCAGUGGCGAAGGCGGCUUACUGGACUGUAACUGACGUUGAGGCUCGAAAGCGUGGGGAGCAAACAGGAUUAGAUACCCC